GCAUUGGUGGUUCAGUGGUAGAAUUCUCGCCUGCCACCGCGGUAAGCCGGGUUUGAUUCCGGCCAAUGCA
rnacentral:tRNA from 1 species